UAGGAGGAGACCAAGAAAGCCUAUAAAAAGCAAAAAUAUGAAGUGAACAUUGUGGUAGCUUUAAGAUGUUUAGUGUAGCUGCAGGCACCCUAUACACAUGAAAACCCCCAAGGGGAAUCCCCAUAUCACAGUGUAGUGUGAUAUUUGACAUUCGUGAUCAUCUAGAGAUGUACAGAAAAGCAUUUACAGUUUCAAGAGUUUGUGUCACAAUUAGAAGAAUUCAGCUGCACCUCCAAGUGACAGCAGUUGCUCUGGUUGGUGGGUGAUCUCAGGAGGCUUGAGAAUUGCUUUGUCUGUGAGGGAAGUAAGACAUUUUCAGAGCCCCACUUUAGAAGGUGUGAACUGGCUAGAUAAUGAACCCCAGGGCUAACGCUGCUAUAGCAGUGGGAAGGAGGUGAUGGGUUUUCAGUUUGGACCUCAAACAUCAAUACCCUCCUGGUACGGGGAGGAACAGAGUCCCUCCUUUACUUCUCCAUUAGAAAGAAUGAGAUGGCAAGACAAUGAAACAGGCAAAGUGAACAGAGAUGCAAGACAAAAUUCAGGUGAGAGAGCCAGAGCAUCACUCAGCCAUUCCUGACAUGUAAAACAGGCAACUAGAAAUUUGCAGAAAGGAAGCGAAGUCUCCAUAAAGAUGUUUUUAAAGUGAGCUUGAAGUAUUUGGAGACAAUUCAGUGUUACAUAAAAUCUGCAAAUCUCUGGAUAAAGAAGCAGAGAUCCCAGCAUGGGACAAAUGGAGCCUCAAAAGUGGGAAGAAGACAGAGAAGACCAGGGCAGAAUGCAUCUCUUCCUUUCUCUUGGCUUUCCUGGAUAAGGACUGCAUCAUUCCUGUGGAAGGACAGGCCAUCAGCUCCGAAACACUGUAUGUAUUUUCCAGUAUAUACUGCUAGCUGUGUGAUGUUGGGAAAAUUUGUUACCCUGUCUAACCCCCACUUCCCUCAUCUGUAAAAUGGAAAUAAUGAUAGUACCUACCUAUCUCAUAGGUGGCAACUACAAGGGGCAGCACACUCAGGGAAUUAAGGAAGUUUCAGUGAACAUCAACUUUAUGAACACAGUGUUCAUAAAGGCAGGUCAGUGCAGUGGUUUGGGAGCCAGGAGAAGCACGUGGGCCGGAGUGUGCCUGCAGGAGACAAGGUCAGAGAUGUUGCUAAUAAUGGAGAAUAAAGGAUGCAUUCUCAUUACUGA
ensembl:lncRNA ARLNC1 androgen receptor regulated long noncoding RNA 1